rnacentral:tRNA from 1 species
UGUCCCAUGGUGUAAUUGGUAACACACCGGUUUUUGGUACCGACAUUCAAGGUUCGAGUCCUUGUGGGACAACAA